AGCUCCAAUAGCGUAUAUUAAAGUUGCUGCAGUUAAAAAGCUCGUAGUUGCAUUUCCGAGGCAAGGGAUUAGUCCGACCUUUGGUGGGUAUUUAAUCCUCUUGCCUCGUCCUUGAGUGGUGCUUCUUGGUAUUAAGUUAUCGAGGAGAUAGCCGCUCAUCGUUUACUGUGAGAAAAUUAGAGUGUUCAAAGCAGGCUUAUGCCGUUGAAUAUAUUAGCAUGGAAUAAUAAGAUAGGACCUCGGUACUAUUGUGUUGGUUUGAGAACCAAGGUAAUGAUGAAUAGGGACAGUUGGGGGUAUUCGUAUUCAGUUGUCAGAGGUGAAAUUCUUAGAUUUACGGAAGACGAACUACUGCGAAAGCAUUUACCAAGGAUGUUGUCA
rnacentral:rRNA from 1 species